GACGACUGGCGCAAGCCGCAGAGCGCUUAGCCGCCUGGGGCGCGGUUGCCGGACGCCAGCGGCGGCCGCGCCCCGAGUCCGACGCCUUGAACCGGCC
rnacentral:tRNA from 1 species